GGCGGCGUGCCUAAUACAUGCAAGUAGAACGCUGAAGGAGGAGCUUGCUCUUCUGGAUGAGUUGCGAACGGGUGAGUAACGCGUAGGUAACCUGCCUGGUAGCGGGGGAUAACUAUUGGAAACGAUAGCUAAUACCGCAUAACAGUAGAUGUUGCAUGACAUCUACUUGAAAGGUGCAAUUGCAUCACUACCAGAUGGACCUGCGUUGUAUUAGCUAGUUGGUGAGGUAACGGCUCACCAAGGCGACGAUACAUAGCCGACCUGAGAGGGUGAUCGGCCACACUGGGACUGAGACACGGCCCAGACUCCUACGGGAGGCAGCAGUAGGGAAUCUUCGGCAAUGGACGGAAGUCUGACCGAGCAACGCCGCGUGAGUGAAGAAGGUUUUCGGAUCGUAAAGCUCUGUUGUAAGAGAAGAACGAGUGUGAGAGUGGAAAGUUCACACUG
rnacentral:rRNA from 1 species